rnacentral:lncRNA from 1 species
AAUCCAUGCUUGGUCUUUUCACCAACACCCCUACUCAGAUUUUAAUUUUUUACAACAUUUUGCGUUGAGAAGUGGAUUCGUUGAUUGGCUUCCCAAAAAACAAUGGCUAUUUCUGUGUCCUGAUGUGAUCCUCCUGCUGAGAUUCUGCUCCCAGGAGUCUACAGUCUAGAUGGAGAGAGAAGAUCAUCCUCAACUCCUACAUUUUAUGGGGAAGCAGAACAGCCACAGGGAGAGGCAGGUGCUUCCUGAUCUCAGGAGCUGGCCUAGGCAAAGGGUCAGGAGAGGGAAGUCUAGGUCACAAUGGGAGUCCGGAGCUCUCUGCAGAGCAAGUGGGCACCUUCGGGGAAGUCUGUCCACAGGGACGGGGCCCGGCCUCAGGUGGUGUGGCAUCCUGAGGCCACGGUGCGAAGCAGGGUCAUGAGUCAGGGCCAGACAGGCACAAUGAUAUCUAAAAAGCCAGCUCAGACGGAUAGAGGAGCAGGCAGCCAACUUACUCAGAGCCUCUAAUUUACAGCAUUUGGUAUUCUUAUCAGCCCUCUGUGAGGUAGAUAUUAUGACUGAUGUUUUACAGAUAAGGAAGAUGAGGCUAAUGGAGGUGGGACAAUUCACCUGGCUAGUAGAACCAGUGCCCAUCCACUUCUUCUACUGUGCUGGCUGCCCAGAGAUGUCUCACUCCCUUCUCCCUGAGUCAGGCUUGGUUACAGCGAUGAUGGAGGUAGUCCGUGGGAAGAGAUGACACGGCCCCAGCUGAAGGAGAGGAGCACAGUCCUGAGCGUUUCUCCAGAACUUCCUGUUUGCCUGCGGCUGCACAGACAGGACCGGUCCCACCCCGGUCAUCUGGCCAGGCCCAGGGAGAGAGGUGGGAGUCAGCUGCGUUCUCCCCACAGCUCCUCUGGGUUCUUGCCACCCACACACGGGUCCUCUGGGACCAGUUCCAUUGGAUCCAAGUCAGUUCACAAGAAGGUCAAGGUGACCCAGAAGGGCUUGUGGCCAAGAUCCUUAAACUUUUUUUUUUUUUGAUUUUUCAGCUUUCCAAAAAGGCAGAGUAAGUGAUGACUUCAGGACAUGGAGUUCCAGAGAAAACUGGAGAGAGGAGCGAAGUCUCCUUGAUUGGGGAGAUGGAGAAAAAUGCCCACAGAGGGUGUGGUCUUUUAGUGUCAACACAGUCAAAAGACCCCUGUGCUAUCUACCUGUGUGCCCGCCUGCCUGGUGAGUGCCGGGCCCGCGGGAGCUGUCAACAGAGUCGCAGAAUGAAUGUUCCUGGAGGUCAGCAACUAAGUCAACACCACGGUUGGAAAAUUUCCAGCAUGUGGUCCUGGAAAAUGUUCUUAUUGCAAACAGAGUUUUCCAGGCACUACCAUUUCUUCCACAACCUGUGUAAGAGGGCAGAGACUGAAUUCAUGAGGCAGGAAAGGCUCUGGCUGCCCUUGGGCUGGUCACCAAAGGCCUAUCCAAUCAUUAAUUAGAUUGUGUCAAUGUUUGAGAAUUGUUGAAACAGAACAUUGUACUGGAACAUUUUGUCUGGAUAUUUUACUGUCCUGCAAAUGACAUGAAAACAUGCUUUUAAAACUGAGGGUUCAGAGACCCUGAGUAACUCAGUUUGGGGCCUCUCUACCAGUCAAUUCUGAAGGGACUUUGGUCUGUGACAACAAGUGGGAGAAGCAAACAGCAUGCUAAAGGAAAGAAGAAAUUUUGCCUGCAAUGCUGUGUUAGCUACAUUGCCAAUUCUCCAACAUUCUGUGCCCUUGAUGCCCCGAGGGGCUGGCGGUUGUGUUCUGCAUCGCCAGGGGCUGCCUUCUAGUUGAAUUUGGCGAAUGGAUGCACCAGCGGGUGAUUGGAGUGCUGGAGGAGAGAAAUGUCAGGUGUUUCCUCUGCUUCUGGACUCUGGCAGUAGCUAUGAUCUCCUAUACGGUCUUUAUCAAGGGGUCCAUCUGCUGCCCCCACUUCAUCAAACACACAGCUUUGGCUCUCACUGGGCUCCUGUAACACUAUCCUUUUGCCCCCUUAGAUCCACUGUUGCUAGGCUCUAGUUGUCUUGCCUCUGUGAAUAGUCCCUUUGACACAGUCUCUUCAUUUGAGCCCUCUGCAGGAUCUGCUUCUCUGCCGGAUCCUGACAGAAAUAGGCCAACUUCCUGGUCAUAACAAGUUUCUUGAGGGAAGUAAAUUUCACACACUCAGCAUUAUUGCUGUUGCUUGUUCCUGACGUUUGAUUUUUCCUUAUGGGAGAGAUUGUCUUUGUGCAUACUGGCAAUCUGAAAGACGGCAGGGUGCAGAGCAGGGAGCUGUGGACGAAAGUGCUGGAAGGCUCCCGCACACAGGUGCAGCAAGAUGGUGAGCUGUGCAGCGGGCAGGGUCAAGAGAUGGGAAAAGGAGGGCAGGGUAGCAGAACACAAGCAUAAGAGACACAGACAUGCUCUGCCCGGAUUGUGGAGCAUGUGGUCCAGCAAACAGCUUGCAGCUGACAUGAACUUCCGGGUCUGCCUCAGCGCAGAGGAACGCCUCGUGCAAGCUCAUCCCUUACCAGAGCAGCUUGACUGGGCAGGCAGGGAUAUAAAG